UAAUGUAUGGGGAUCUGCCCGAUAGAGGGGGAUAACUACUGGAAACGGUGGCUAAUACCGCAUAAUGUCUACGGACCAAAGCAGGGGCUCUUCGGACCUUGCACUAUCGGAUGAACCCAUAUGGGAUUAGCUAGUAGGUGGGGUAAAGGCUCACCUAGGCGACGAUCUCUAGCUGGCUGAGAGGAUGAUCAGCCACACUGGGACUGAGACACGGCCCAG
rnacentral:rRNA from 1 species